rnacentral:rRNA from 1 species
AUUGAACGCUGGCGGCAGGCCUAACACAUGCAAGUCGAACGAGUGGCGGACGGGUGAGUAAUGUCUGGGAAACUGCCUGAUGGAGGGGGAUAACUACUGGAAACGGUAGCUAAUACCGCAUACCAUCGGAUGUGCCCAGAUGGGAUUAGCUAGUCGGUGGGGUAACGGCUCACCUAGGCGUCGUUCCCUAGCUGGUCUGAGAGGAUGACAAGCCACACUGGAACAGGGGCACGGGCCAGACUCCUACGGGAGGCAGCAGUGGGGAAUAUUGCACAAGGGGAGCAAGCCUGAUGCAGCCAUGACGCGUGUAUGAAGAAGGCAUUCGGGUUGUAAGGUGCUUUCAGCGGGGAGGCGUUACGCGCAGAAGAAGCACCGGCUAACUCCGUGCCAGCAGCCGCGGUAAUUC